rnacentral:rRNA from 1 species
AUUGAACGCUGGAGGCAGGCCUAACACAUGCAAGUCGCACGAGUGGCGGACGGGUGAGUAAUGUCUGGGAAACUGCCUGAUGGAGGGGGAUAACUACGGGAAACGGUAGCUAAUACGGCAUAUCAGCGGAUGUGCCCAGUUGGGAUUAGCUAGUAGGUGGGGUAAAGGCUAACCUAGGAGACGAUCCCUAGCUGGUCUGAGAGGAUGACCAGCCACACGGGAACGGAGACACGGUCCAGACUCCUACGGGAGGCAGCAGAGGGGAAUAUUGCACAAUGGGCGCAAGCCUGAUGCAGCCAUGCCGCGUGUAUGAAGAAGGCCUUCGGGUUGUAAAGUACUUGCAGCGGGGAGGCGUUACCCGCAGAAGAAGCACCGGCUAACUCCGUGCCAGCAGCCGCGGUAAUAC